rnacentral:lncRNA from 1 species
AGGUAUUAGUAUCUUGCUGAAUUAACAUUCACCACAUUUAGUGUAAAGGGAUUAUAAUCACCCUGGAACUUUAUUUACAUUUUUCUCUUGGCCUAAUGCCCUACAGCUGUACCAAUGAGAGAAGUUAACAGCUCUAACUGUCCUUCACCUCCUUCCCUGCUGGAUGGUCUGUCCUCUCUGAUCUGCUGAUAGAGCCAUUACAGAAGUUCAUUUAAAAUUAUAUUGGCCAGCUUAAACAGUUGUUUUUUGCUAACUUGGCUUUUUUAGUCUCAGAUGAAUUAGGGAGCUUGCUAGCCUCCUUCUCUAGCUCAGCUCUUUAUGGACUGCAUGUGUGUUGGCAUCUUGAAUCAUACUGUAAGUAAUAUAUGGGGGUCAAUAACAGACCAAUAUUGAAUCUGAUAAAAGAUGUAUUUUGAAUGUAAUAACACAUGCAAGUAUGUAAUGUGAUGGCUGAACAAAAGGAUAUGGGCUAUUAAAUAGGCUUAUUGUUGCUGUAUUUUAUGCAAAAUAUCAUAUGAUAAGAGCAGUAAAACAAGCAAAUUUUAACAAGGAGAGCUAGUAAUUCAAGCUAGCAAAAGAAAAAACCUACUCAUUAUGCAUAACAUUAGGAUAUUGAUAUCUUACUAAAAUGGCUAGAGACUAAAAAGAACAGCUGUAGGUAGUUCUCAUAAAAUGUGAUAUUUGUAAAUGAUAACAACCGAGAAGCUUGAUUCUGAAAGCAGGAACAUGUUUUAUAGGUAUCACUUCCUCUUCUGAUCAUAAAAAGGAUUGCUUCCUGUUCCUCUCUUGGGUGAACUGAUGGAUGAGGCAUGGAAGGACCAGGCAGCAAACAUUGAGCGCUCCACACUGCGCAGCAUGUGUGCAUUCUUCCCACAUCAAUCUGGUGUUAAGUGGAAUGGCAACUGUUGCUGUUGAGAACUACUGUAGCAAUGACCAGCGCCCUAGCUCCCUGCUUUACCAGCAAGCUAUUCUGCUUUCAGAAUAUGAAAUACAUUUGGUUUAAUGAGCAGGAAGACAGAAGAAAGUUGCUGAUUUGAGUUCUGUUGGUAAAUGGAAUUGAUUAUUUUUUCAUAGAACCAUUAUGAUUGGAAAAGACCUCUGAGAUCAUGGGGUCUAACCAUCCACUUACCAUCAAUAUUGUCCCCUAAACCAUGUCCCUAAGUACUAAUCUACCCUGUCCUUAAACACCUGCAGGGACAGUUACUUCACUACCUCCCUGGGCAGCCCAUUCCAGUGCCUUCCCACUCUUUCUGAGAAGAAAUGUUUCCUAAUAUGCAACAUUUUUGGAGCAGGCAUUAAAAUCGUUUCACU